rnacentral:misc_RNA from 1 species
UCUCCGUUGGUGAACCAGCGGAGGGAUCAUUACUGAGUGUAAAAACUCCCAACCCUUUGUGAACAUACCUCUGUUGCUUCGGGGGCGACCCUGCCGUUCGCGGCGUGGGGCCCCCGGAGCCCAUCAAACCCUGCGUAACUAAGUCGUCGGAGUUUAAACAAAUUAAACAAAACUUUCAACAACGGAUCUCUUGGUUCUGGCAUCGAUGAAGAACGCAGC